CCUACGGGUGGCUGCAGUAGGGAAUUUUCGGCAAUGCGGGGAACCCUGACCGAGCAACGCCGCGUGAACGAAGAAGUUCUUCGUAAUGUAAAGUUCUUUUAACAGGGAAGAAAGAGAAAUUUGACGGUACCUGAAGAAUAAGCUCCGGCUAACUACGUACCAGCAGCUGCGGUAAUACGUAGGGCGCGAGCGUUAUCGGGAAUGAUUGGGGGAAAAGGGUUCGUAGAUGGCAUAGUAAGUCUUUUGUAAAAAUGCUGGGUUAAAACCAGUAGGGCAAAAGAUACUGCAAAACUAGAGUAUGACAGAGGCAAGUAGAACUACAGGUGUAGCGGUAAAAUGCGUAAAUAUAUGUAAGAACACCGGUGGCGAAGGCGGCAAUCUGGGUCGAUACUGACAUUGAGGCGCGAAAGCGUGGGGAGCAAACAGGAUUAGAUACCCCUGUAGUC
rnacentral:rRNA from 1 species